GUGCCUAACACAUGCAAGUCGAACGGUAACAGGUCUUCGGAUGCUGACGAGUGGCGCACGGGUGAGUAACGCGUGGAUAUCUGCCUAUUAGUGGGGGACAACUUGUGGAAACGCAAGCUAAUACCGCAUAAUCCCUACGGGGGAAAGCAGGGGACCUUCGGGCCUUGUGCUGAUAGAUGAGUCCGCGUCUGAUUAGCUAGUUGGUAGGGUAAAGGCCUACCAAGGCGAUGAUCAGUAUCUGGUUUGAGAGGAUGAUCAGACACACUGGAACUGAGACACGGUCCAGACUUCUACGGAAGGCAGCAGUGGGGAAUAUUGCACAAUGGGCGCAAGCCUGAUGCAGCGACGCCGCGUGUGGGAAGAAGGCUUUAGGGUUGUAAACCACUUUCAAUUGGGAAGAAGAGAUGAGAGUUAAUAACUUUCUGAUUUGACGGUACCUUUAGAAGAAGCACCGGCUAAUUUCGUGCCAGCAGCCGCGGUAAUACGAAAGGUGCAAGCGUUGUUCGGAUUUACUGGGCGUAAAGAGAGUGUAGGUUGUUUAUUAAGUCGGAUGUGAAAUCCCGGGGCUCAACCUCGGAACUGCAUUCGAUACUGGUAGACUAGAGUUCGGGAGGGGUAAGCGGAAUUCCGUGUGUAGCAGUGAAAUGCGUAGAUAUACGGAGGAACACCUGAGGCGAAGGCGGCUUACUGGACCGAUACUGACACUGAGACUCGAAAGCGUGGGUAGCAAACAGGAUUAGAUACCCUGGUAGUCCACGCCCUAAACGAUGUCAACUAGCCGUUGCGGGUAUCGACCCCUGCAGUGGCGAAGCUAACGCGAUAAGUUGACCGCCUGGGGAGUACGGU
rnacentral:rRNA from 1 species